AUAUGAAUUCUCAAUAUUUUUUUGUCCACAUGUCAAGUUUUUCUUUACCCUCAACCGCAUGUGAUCUUUACCCUUCCCUUCAUCAAGUUUAAAUUAAUAUAUCUAAUUGAUACAUAUAAACGCUCAUACUAUUAAAACUGCAAUUAAUCUAUUUAAAUGUUUCCACAGCCAGAUAUGAUCCUCACCUUUCUAUUUCUAAUUAAUUCAUCAUGACCCUUUCCCUUCCACUAUAAUUUAUAAUUAUCAUAUUUUUAUUUCUAAUUAAUUCAUCAUGACCUUCUUCUAGCGAUGUAUAAUUCUCAUAUUUCUAUCUCUAAUUAAUUUAUCACCACCCUUUCCUUUUCCUCCAUCUUUCACAGUCAUUUAUAAUCCUCACAUUUCUAUUUCUAAUUAAUUCAUCGCGACCUUCCCCUUUCCUCCAUCAAACUUUCAAUUAAUUCAUCUCUGCAAUGCUCACCUCUCCACCCCUCAUUUUUUCCUCUAACUCAUUGUCUCCCUCCCUUUCUCUCUGUAGCACACUGGACCUUUGCAAAUUGCGAGGUUCGA
rnacentral:lncRNA from 1 species